UACGGGGGGAGGCAAGCGUUGUUCGGAUUUACUGGGCGUAAAGGGCGCGAUAGGCGGCCACCGGCAAGUCGACGUGUGAAAUCUCCGGGCUUAACCCGGAAAGGUCAGCCGAUACUGCGGGGCUAGAGUGCAGGAAGGGGCAACUGGAAUUCUACGGUGUAGCGGUGAAAAUGCGUAGAUAUCGGGAGGAACACCUAUGGCGAAGGCAGCUCGCUGGGACGUUACUGACGCUGAGACGCGAAAGCGUGGGGAGCAAACAGG
rnacentral:rRNA from 1 species